UCCUACGGGAGGCAGCAGUGGGGAAUCUUGGACAAUGGGCGCAAGCCUGAUCCAGCCAUGCCGCGUGUGUGAUGAAGGCCUUAGGGUCGUAAAGCACUUUCGCCAGAGAUGAUAAUGACAGUAUCUGGUAAAGAAACCCCGGCUAACUCCGUGCCAGCAGCCGCGGUAAUACGGAGGGGGUUAGCGUUGUUCGGAAUUACUGGGCGUAAAGCGCACGUAGGCGGAUUAGUCAGUCAGAGGUGAAAUCCCAGGGCUCAACCCUGGAACUGCCUUUGAUACUGCUAGUCUUGAGUUCGAGAGAGGUGAGUGGAAUUCCGAGUGUAGAGGUGAAAUUCGUAGAUAUUCGGAGGAACACCAGUGGCGAAGGCGGCUCACUGGCUCGAUACUGACGCUGAGGUGCGAAAGUGUGGGGAGCAAACAGGAUUAGAUACCCUGGUAGUCCACACCGUAAACGAUGAAUGCCAGUCGUCGGGUAGUAUACUAUUCGGUGACACACCUAAC
rnacentral:rRNA from 1 species